rnacentral:rRNA from 1 species
GCAACCUGCCCCUGACUCUGGGAUAAGCGCCGGAAACGGCGUCUAAUACUGGAUAUGUGACGUGACCGCAUGGUCUGCGUCUGGAAAGAAUUUCGGUUGGGGAUGGGCUCGCGGCCUAUCAGCUUGUUGGUGAGGUAAUGGCUCACCAAGGCGUCGACGGGUAGCCGGCCUGAGAGGGUGACCGGCCACACUGGGACUGAGACACGGCCCAGACUCCUACGGGAGGCAGCAGUGGGGAAUAUUGCACAAUGGGCGCAAGCCUGAUGCAGCAACGCCGCGUGAGGGACGACGGCCUUCGGGUUGUAAACCUCUUUUAGCAGGGAAGAAGCGAAAGUGACGGUACCUGCAGAAAAAGCGCCGGCUAACUACGUGCCAGCAGCCGCGGUAAUACGUAGGGCGCAAGCGUUAUCCGGAAUUAUUGGGCGUAAAGAGCUCGUAGGCGGUUUGUCGCGUCUGCUGUGAAAUCCGGAGGCUCAACCUCCGGCCUGCAGUGGGUACGGGCAGACUAGAGUGCGGUAGGGGAGAUUGGAAUUCCUGGUGUAGCGGUGGAAUGCGCAGAUAUCAGGAGGAACACCGAUGGCGAAGGCAGAUCUCUGGGCCGUAACUGACGCUGAGGAGCGAAAGGGUGGGGAGCAAACAGGCUUAGAUACCCUGGUAGUCCACCCCGUAGACGUUGGGAACUAGUUGUGGGGUCCAUUCCACGGAUUCCGUGACGCAGCUAACGCAUUAAGUUCCCCGCCUGGGGAGUACGGCCGCAAGG